rnacentral:rRNA from 1 species
UACGAAGGGGGCUAGCGUUGUUCGGAAUUACUGGGCGUAAAGCGCGCGUAGGCGGCUUGAUCAGUCAGAGGUGAAAUCCCGGGGCUCAACCCCGGAACUGCCUUUGAUACUGUCAAGCUAGAGCUCGGAAGAGGGUGGCGGAAUACCCAGUGUAGAGGUGAAAUUCGUAGAUAUUGGGUAGAACACCAGUGGCGAAGGCGGCCACCUGGUCCGUAGCUGACGCUGAGGUGCGAAAGCGUGGGGAGCAAACAGG